UAAAAAUGGAUUGUAGGCAGAAAUGCGCCUUUUAAACAAAGGAUUCUUUUUUUUCCCCCUCUUUUAUCCUUAAUUGGUUUAUGAAAAAGAAAAUUUCAACUUAAAGAAAUAUAACCAGAAUUGGCACAAUCAUACACAACUUUUGCUUAUUUAGGCAUCAAACUAUCAAAAUUGAAUCCUCAACUUGGAUAAUUCUUCUUUCCUAUACUUUCUCAGCAAUCAAACAAAGAAACAACUAGGAAAAGAGG
rnacentral:misc_RNA from 1 species